rnacentral:rRNA from 1 species
GCUUAGAGAGGGGUCAAUGUCCUAUCAGCUAGUUGGUAGGGUAAUGGCCUACCAAGGCGAAGACGGGUAGCCGGCCUGAGAGGGUGGUCGGCCACACUGGGACUGAGACACUGCCCAGACUCCUACGGGAGGCUGCAGUCGAGAAUCUUUCGCAAUGCCCGAAAGGGUGACGAAGCGACGCCGCGUGUGGGAAGAAGGCCUUCGGGUUGUAAACCACUGUCGGGAGUUAAGAAAUGUAAGGGUGCCAAUAGUAUCCUUACUUGACUAAGGCUCCGGAGGAAGCCACGGCUAACUCUGUGCCAGCAGCCGCGGUAAUACAGAGGCGGCAAGCGUUGCUCGGAAUUAUUGGGCGUAAAGAGCACGUAGGCGGCCUUGUAAGUCAGUUGUGAAAGCCUUCUGCUUAACGGAAGAACAGCAUCUGAUACUGCAAGGCUAGAGUGCGGAAGGG